ACGCUCAAACGCACAAAUGUGAGUUUUGCGACGCUUUUCUUCGGUCCUUGUGGGAGCGAGAGAAAAGUUCAAGUUUUGUGAAUAAUCGAUUAAUGUUUCUUGGUGCAUAAUGUGAAAAAAAUGUGUUUAAGAAAGUGCAACAAGAGUGAAAAAUGCUACAGGAGAAUUGUGGAUUUGGACAAAAUAUUUGCACAAAACAAGUUUUAUAGUUAUGAAUCUCCCAAAAACUCGAUUGCAAUCGGUAAGGAAGUACUCUACCUUCUUUCAGUAGCAGUUUGAUAUUAAAUCGGCAAGUUAACUACGACAGGCCCUGCACUUGACAAAGUAGGAUGUUGUUUUGCGCGUAAUGGCAGACGAAUUCUCAAAUAUUGCUUGAUUUUCUGCCGAAUCCAAGGCAGGGUCCCCUUAAACUCUGGAUAUCCGGCCACCAAGAGUGAUUUACUUGUUCUCUAAACUACAGCAAUUUAAACUCCAAACAGGCAGCCAACGGAGUAUUGCGAACAGUGAUCUAACCUGAUAUAUAUAUAUAGUCGAUUGGAAAUUGACCCGAGGAUUCCAAGUUAAAAAUGCUUUUCUCAUCACACUGGGGUAGAAUGAUGUUUUGCGUCGAUUUGGAAGACCUAAAAUGUCUCGUAGAUGUACGAAGAAAGCGGAAGAAGUCAAAGAUAGUCAGGAAGUGCGAGAUUUAUCGGCAGUGCAUGGAACAUGAUGAUCCAGAAACCAUUAAAAUGACUUCGAAUCAGGAAGCACGGACUCUUGUGCAUCUGAUUAUGCAAAUGAAAAUUUAUUCGAACUGGAUGUAAAAGAUAGGUCGGAAAAUAGAUGUGGCCUUGCUGAUGAAGGAGAAGUAUUGAACACAUCAGUAGUAGAGGAAACUACUAUUCCAUUGAUAUAUAGGCUUGCUCAUUUUGUAUCCCAGUUUUACCUAAGCGUACAUACUACAAAGCAUUUGUUGAGUAUCUUUCGAGAUGAAGGACUGAACCUUUCAAAAUGUCAUUCUAUUUUACUGGAAACUCCAAAGGAUAAAUUUGUCCUGAAAUAAGUUGUUAAUUCUCAAACCUCGUACAUAAUUCAGCAGUCAUCAUUCCACUCAGACAAGACCAUGCGUAUUUCCCACGCACAUUGAUGCCCUGUGAACUAGUUUCCUAAAAAACUAAACAAACAAAGAAAGUAAGAGUUCUCAGUCCAAAGAAAUGUUAGCUUGAUUGGCAUCACUCGGCGGAUAUGUUCUUUUACAAUGCCACCAAAUCAACGAUCAUUUAAAAUUACAUGCUAGAACAUAUGCGCAAUUUUAAAAAUAGUAAAGUUAAAACUGCUACUUAUUUGCCAUCAAGUAUUCUCAUAGCAAAGGUGGCUCAUUUCCAACGAUAGCACUAUUGGUAUAAAAAAGGUUAUAAGAGACGCGGAAGAGAAUAGCUGAUCACCGCCCAGCACUAAAUAUACUGCUCUUUCGUUAAAAAAUUGGUUUUUAAAUGGCUUCCUUUCAAUCUAACAUUCCAAGAAAAAAAAAACAAUGAAACUUUCAUUCUUCAGUAUGAACAUGUACCUGGUCGGAUAUGUUUCUACCUGUGAAGAAAAUCCUUCGGAAAAACAUUUCAUCGCAAACCCACUCGAGGGAGAAAAUUAUGCUCAGCGCCCCCAGCCAGCGUGCGAAAAGUAAUCGAUGCAUUGUAAAAGGAAAAUUGCAGAAUCAUCCAACCGUUGCAAGCGAUAGAAACGUCUAUGAAUGUACUUAUGGUACUGUCAGGCUAGCAAAGGGAAAAUUCGUGUGCCGAGGGACGGGUGGAAAAACUCAUCGAAGCAGGCGAGCGAACAGGGACGAACGGAAGGUAAAGUAGGCGCACUGUGUGGAUGGUAUGCGCGCUAGGCCAGCAUAACACGUUGCAUGGGCAUAACCCCCACGGCAAAAUCAGCCCGGAAAACUGGAAUUCAGCGCGCGGAGGCCAUAACGAGGCAGUGAAAGUUAGUUUAGGGGCAACUCGGUGGGUUUUCUAUGCCGCCGCUCGCUUGCCGUUUCCUUCCAUUUAUUCAAGCUGCGAGCAGGGUAACUUGUUAGCACUCCUUCCGACAAGCCUUGCACUCUGUGCGUUCCACAGUGUGGUGGGGUUCUAUGGCUGGCCCGUUACGGCAAUGAAAAACCGGGGAUGGAUGGCGACAGUAGCAGAAGCAGCAGGCUGUGCUAUAUAUUCAAUUUUAGACAUAAAGCGUUUCUAUCAGCAGUGUGUGGUAGGAUCGGCAGAAAAAUCAGUAACAAAUGUUAGUUUAACAUGAAUCAUGAUACAACCCCUAGAUCCAUAAAUUAUAGGAAAAUUGACAAGAGUUUUCCUGGCUUUGGAAGAGCCGUUCAAUAGGGUUGGUUCGUGAAGUAUCCUUUCCGUUUUAAUUAGUAUUUAUCUAAACCAUUUUUAUUACCCUUACUCUUAACCAACUUGAGAUGAAAGUGUUAUUUGUUAAAAAAACGAAACUAUUUUCAGUAUCUGACAAAUUUAUUUGCGGAUGAAAGUGUCUGACUCUAUUUCUUGCGUAUAGUUAUAAACCCUCCAAAUCUUACGCUCUCACCAGCCGCCAAUCGAGGGGACGAGUAUCGCACCCUCCAGUUUUAUUCGCCUCUUUUCUAUUUCGCGGUUUGCCACACUGUACUAAUACGGUACACCAUUAUCUUUCGACCAUUUUCCCUCCUUCUGGCACUGUGCAUCAGCUUUUGCUAUCGGUCUAUAUCGCUCCAUUGUUGUGCUCUUUUGAUUCGAUCAAAUAAAUAAUAAGCAAAUGUGUGCACCCGGGAUUCACCCCUCGUACGCGUUUGGUCGGUCCGCGCCUGCUGUGGUGAUUAUGGGAAUAAGCGAGAAACGGAAGAUUCAAUUUGAAGGGAAACGAUGCGACAGCUCUGCUUUAGACCCAGAUCGUCUAAAGUGGUUUUACGAUAGUGCCGAUGCUUUCAAAUGCGAUGGAUGAGGGAUGCUGUGCGGUUUGUCGCGUUCGGAACAAAAUGGCAGUUGCGGCUUUAUAAAGGAUGGUGCUUCGUAAUAGCAUAUCAUAUAUCCUUAUAAAAUCGCGACGGUAGCGCUGCUAUGUGUGACAAAAAUGUGUUCCAAAAGUUUCUUGAAUCUUUACUUUUAAGACAUAGAGAUUCGCAGAAUCGAAAUAAUAAAACUCAUCAUUUAACAAGAAGCGAGAUCAUAAAUCAAACACGAUCUUCUUCCCAUUGAAAGCUGGAUGUCAUCGAUGACAGUAAUGUUUACUGCAAAGCCUCAAGAAGUUAGGCACAUAACAAUAACUGCAGAGCAAUUUAAAAGAAACUCCAGCUGUGUAGAGGAAGCUAAAUUACGGUCCUGGAGGUCUCUUCGCUAGCUUCAUUACGACAAUUUUCUACAUGACCAUCUUUCGCAAUGACGUCCUAACACUCAACGAUCAUCCAUCGAUCCAAAAGCCAAGCAUUGAUACUUAUUCUUCCGAAUACAGCUCAAUACCCAUUUGUUUACCCACGGGAAACCCAAGAAAGAAGGCACAGCGGGAGGAUUAAAUUGCACAAAACCAGUUGUAAACAAACACACAAAACGUCACUUCGGAGGUGGUAUCAAACCCCGGAUAGAGCCGUCCUUCCUCGUCAGAACCUCUGUCUGUAUAAAGGUACAAUAAUAUCAUUUCUACUUCCGUCUACGAUCGACGGUAGGUACCUCGGCAUUGUGUGUCUUGGGAAAAGACAGACGGGACGAGGAAGGAUGCAACGGAUAAGGAAGUUGAUUACCUACACCAAACAUCGGGAAGAAUUAACUUGUUUUCCAAUAGUGCUUGCCAGUUUAGUAAGGGAACUUCCAUCAAUACUUUGAGUGAUUGCUAUAGCUGACUUUUGAUUGUUGCCAUCGCAUUUAAGCAGGCAUAGGAUUUUGCUCUUCUCAAUGUUGGCAGAAAAAGGUCAUUUUUUUUGAAAUACUCUUCCGUUUUGAUUGAAUGCAAUUCGAGGAUCAUUGAUCAAUUAGUACUUAAGGCUCGGAAGAAUAUGUACAUAUUUUUUCUAGUUGAAUAGAUUUUGCUGUUUUGUUGGCAUGAGGCUACUUGGGAAGUAAGCAACGCAUUGUUGUAAUGUGCAGGUGGUCUUCGUAACGUUUGCUCUGUUGAAGUAUUGAUUCGAUUUGAGAAAGCUAAAUUGUAUUAUUCAUAUUGGGUUAAGCCAUUCGGAAGUUGAAUGAAAAAUCUGUUCAGUUUCUAUCAGAGGCUCAUUAAGAAGGUAGUUUUCUGAAAAAAAAGAACAACAAAAGAAACAAUCUUUUACAUACUUUUGAGCUUAUAAUUACUCAACAAAUAAGCUUUAUGUCAAAAUAAAUAAAAAUGGCGGAUUUAUAAACAAUCUCGCGCAGAAGCUCGCCGCGGACAAUUCGAACUCCGUACAAGAUUUAACCCCUAAUUUUUACCAGAAAAAAAAAAUAAAUACUUUCUUAUUCGGAAGGCUUUUCUGCACUAUGGCCACUAUGGUGAUUGAAAGUUGAAAUAUUUUUAACAUUUUUGAAUAAUCUAUCUCUCAAUCCUUCCCAUGGUGUAGAUCAACUACUAAAAAAUAUUAUUUAUCUGUUAGUAAAAUCGAUGGUAUAGUACAAUUUCGUGCUAUCGGUGAGUAGGCAGAUUUGCUAUAAGCUAGCAUUAAAAAGUUUAAAUAACUAUAACUGAAAAUGACUGAUAAGCCAUUUUGCCGAGUGCUGUUUGGCCGAACGCUAUUUGGCCGACUGCCACUUGGUCAAAAGGGCCAAUUUGCCAAAAGGUCAUUUGACCGAAUGCCUAGUGAUCGAAAAUAUCAUUGGACCGAAUGGCGAUUGGCAGAACAAGCAGUUUGGUCGAAUGCCAUUUAACCGAAUACCGUGUACCCGUGCCAAAUGUCAUUGGCCCAACUGGCUCAAGAGCUGACUGAAUAAGCGUUCAAGAGCUGACUGAAUAACCGUAAUAGAGGUAUACACAGAGACGACCCAGUUUGUAACGAAUGUGAUUUGUUUGUCUUAAAUUGAAUACUGCUUAAUUAUUUUUGACAAUAAUUUUUAUUUUUUAUUAUUGGUCAUUUUGUGGAUAUUUUUCUUCUUUUUAACAGGAGCUGUUAUUUUUAUACAUUUCUUUUAUAUUUAUCUACAGGAAAACUGGACAAAAUUUACCAUGUCCUUCAUACAGCUCGAUAAGAUUUUCAGUUUUCAGAAAGAGAGAGCGAGAGAAGUAUUGGUAGACGAUAUGUAUUCAUUUCGGGUUUAAAACCAUAAUGUUUAAAGAAAUGUUUAUUCAUUGUAAUGAAACUGAUUCGAGAUGAAUUUCUCAUAUAUGCUAUAAAACGGUUGCAAAACUUAUUUAAAUUCAAGGGCAUGUUUAAAACCUAAAUUUUGUCCAAACACCUGCCUUAAUUUGUUACAACACGAGCUGUUCUUCAUAGCUUCAUAUAAUAUAUUGCUAUACACUGUAGACUACCGUACAAGUGUGUUUUUAUUGUCAAAAUAAUAUUGUCGAUCGCGCCAAUAUCGAUUCUUCCAGUCGCAUUUUUUGGAUUUUCUUCCAUCCGAUUUCUGUUACAGUUUUGAACCCACCGCUACAAUACAUUCAGUAUAUAAUGCAUAUAUUAAAAAAAAAACUAAAAAAGUCAAUAAAUUUGUUACAUUCGAUAAAACUGCCUUUUGCCAACGUUCAUUCGGCCGAACGGCAUUCGGUCAUAUGACUCCCUUUCAACAAAAUGACCCCCUUUCGGCAAAAAUAAUCCCCGUUCGGUCAAAUGACCCCCUUCGGUCAUAUUACCCCCUUUUGACCAAAUGACCCCCUUUCGAUCAAAUGACCUCCUUUCAUCCAAAUGACCCCCGUUCGACCAAAUGAUUCCCUUUCGACCAAAUGACCCCCGUUUGACCAAAUGAUCCCCUUUCGACCAAACGACCCCCUUUCGUCCAAAUGACCUCCUUUCGGCCAAAUGACCCCUUUCGACCAAAUGAGCCGCUUUCGACUAAAUAAUCUCCUUUCGACUAAAUGACCUCCUUUAGACCAAAUGACCCCCUUUCGAUCAAAUGACCCCCUUGCGACCAAAUGACCACCUUUCGAUCAAAGGAUCCCUUUUCGACCAAAUGACCCCCUUUCGACCAAAUGACUCCCUUUCGACCAAAUGGCCCCCUUUCGACCAAAUGACCCUCUUUCGGCCAAAUGAUGCCCUUUCGGCAGAAAUGACCCCCUUUCGGUCAAAUGACCCCCUUUCGACUAAAUGACCCCCUUUCGACUAAAUGAUCCUCUUUCGACGAAAUGACCCCCUUUCUACUAAAUGAUCUUUCGACUAAAUGACCUCCUUUAGACCAAAUGACCCCCUUUCGAUCAAAUGACCCCCUUGCGACCAAAUGCCCACCUUUCGAUCAAAGGAUCCCUUUUCGACCAAAUAACCCCCUUUCGACCAAAUGACCCCCUUUCGACCAAAUGACCCCCUUUCGGCCAAAUGACGCCCUUUCGGCAGAAAUGACCUCCUUUCGGCCAAAUGACCCCUUUCGACCAAAUGAGCCGCUUUCGACUAAAUAAUCUCCUUUCGACUAAAUGACCUCCUUUAGACCAAAUGACCCCCUUUCGAUCAAAUGACCCCCUUGCGACCAAAUGACCACCUUUCGAUCAAAGGAUCCCUUUUCGACCAAAUGACCCCCUUUCGACCAAAUGACUCCCUUUCGACCAAAUGGCCCCCUUUCGACCAAAUGACCCUCUUUCGGCCAAAUGAUGCCCUUUCGGCAGAAAUGACCCCCUUUCGGUCAAAUGACCCCCUUUCGACUAAAUGACCCCCUUUCGACUAAAUGAUCCUCUUUCGACGAAAUGACCCCCUUUCUACUAAAUGAUCUUUCGACUAAAUGACCUCCUUUAGACCAAAUGACCCCCUUUCGAUCAAAUGACCCCCUUGCGACCAAAUGCCCACCUUUCGAUCAAAGGAUCCCUUUUCGACCAAAUAACCCCCUUUCGACCAAAUGACCCCCUUUCGACCAAAUGACCCCCUUUCGGCCAAAUGACGCCCUUUCGGCAGAAAUGACCCCCUUUCAGUCAAAUGGCCCCCUUUCGACUAAACGACCCCACCUUCGACUAAAUGACCCCCCUUCGACUAAAUGACCCUCUUUCGACCAAAUGACCCCCUUUCGACCAAAUGAAUCUGGAGAAAAUGUUGAAUCUGGAUCCUGAAAUUUUGAAAAUAUAGAAAAGAAGUAACAUCAAAAGAAAAUAAGACUACUCCCGAAUAAAAAUUUCCAAAAUUAUUCUUUUUUAAGUGAGGCAUUGUGGCCUUACCCUCUUAAAUUAUUAACCUCGGAGGUAUGUGAUUCGGUUCUGUUAUACCAUUUCUAAUUUGUCUAAAUGUUAAAAGUUUCGUCUUCUAACCGAAAAAUUAGAAAUAAUCGACCAGUAUAGAUCAGCGUAGCUUCGUUGAACGGCUCUUCUUUAUAGGUGGGUCAAUAUUGUAGCGAACUUUUGGAGAAAUUCUUCAAGCGAUUACCGUUUUUGUGGUAGUAAACGCUUCAGAAAACGCUUGCGAUAUAACUUCUACAGCUAUUCACAAGUGUAUCACAAACUUAAAAUUGUCCUGUGCGUGAAGUGUUGCUAUAAACCGUGAGCUUUGCAAUAGAAAAAAAAUCAUCUAAUAUAAGCAUUUUCAUAAUUUACUAUAAAAACGUCGACAUGGCGAAGCUAAAACGUCUUUGUUGAAGUUUCUAGAACCACCAAUUUAUCAUUCACAUAGCAGAAAAUAACAAACAAAGGGAAAAUCCACGGAACCCAACAUCCGUAAUGGACAGAAUGCAAACGAAGUCCCAUUUUCAAAUUCGAUUUAUUUGACCUUAAAACUAUUAGAAACUCUCUACCGUAAAAUUUUUACAAAAAUACAUCAGUCAUUAUAUCUCUAAAAUAGUCUUUUUCUGAAAAAAUGGCAAUUCACUGGUCCCAACGUAUUACUUAACAACUUCAGGUUAUACAUAUUUACAACAAAUUUUCUCCUAACAGAGCCCAA